UUCCGUAGGUGAACCUGCGGAAGGAUCAUUACCGGUAUCCUCUCCCGCACCCUUUUGAGCAUUGGCGGCGCGUGUUUCUCUUUGAGGAGCGCGCGUCUCAAUCUCCUCGUCUCUUCGGAGGCGUUGACAACUGGUCUUGGUUCUGCGCCAAGGCUUGUGUCAGUAGGGAUCGUGUGGUCUUCGACUCGCGGUUCCGCCCCAAUUGUUUGCUUCUGCUUCGGCAGUGGCAACCUACCUCAAAACACCACAACUCCUGCCGACGGAUAUCUUGGCUCUCGCAACGAUGAAGAACGCAGCGAAAUGCGAUACGUAGUGCGGAUUGCAGAAUUCAGUGAAUCAUCGAACCUUUGAACGCAUAUGGCUCUUCCAGUUUCCGACUGGAAGAAUGCCCCUUCGAGUGGAGUCACCACCCCUCCUCGGCGCGCCUCGCGCGUGUCCGGAGUCGGCCGCUGCGCGUGUCUUUCGACUCGCGCACCGGCUCAAGGGCAGAGAGAGCCGCUGCGCCUCUGGUACCAUCGGGGAGCGUCCUUCCCGCUGGCGUGCUAGUACGGGUCUCUGGCCUGUUCCGGUCGCCGGCAAAGUGUGGGACGCGCUAUUUCACCUGAUGCGUCUGUCGCUGGCGGCCUCCUUGCGCGAGCAGCAGCCUCGCUGUUGCUUGCCGGUGAGGUGUCCUAGACACCCUUUCUGACCCUCCAUCGAAUGGAGCAAGACUACCCGCUGAACUUAAGCAUAUCAA
rnacentral:rRNA from 1 species